GACGAACGCUGGCGGCGUGCUUAACACAUGCAAGUCGAACGGAAAGGCCCUGCUUUUGUGGGGUGCUCGAGUGGCGAACGGGUGAGUAACACGUGAGUAACCUGCCCUUGACUUUGGGAUAACUUCAGGAAACUGGGGCUAAUACCGGAUAGGAGCUCCUGCUGCAUGGGGGGGGUUGGAAAGUUUCGGCGGUUGGGGAUGGACUCGCGGCUUAUCAGCUUGUUGGUGGGGUAGUGGCUUACCAAGGCUUUGACGGGUAGGCGGCCUGAGAGGGUGACCGGCCACAUUGGGACUGAGAUACGGCCCAGACUCCUACGGGAGGCAGCAGUGGGGAAUAUUGCACAAUGGGCGGAAGCCUGAUGCAGCAACGCCGCGUGCGGGAUGACGGCCUUCGGGUUGUAAACCGCUUUCGCCUGUGCCGAAGCGUGAGUGACGGUAAUGGGUAAAGAAGCACCGGCUAACUACGUG
rnacentral:rRNA from 1 species